rnacentral:lncRNA from 1 species
CUUGGGAUUGGUUCUGGACUGUCGGAUCAUGCUGAUAAUCUCUUAUUCUCAGUCGGGAGCAUCCUCAGUCAUCAGAUCUCAUGAUGGAUUCAUUUUUGACCGUUCGAUCGUACAAAAAAUCUUCUUAUAAACCGGCAACGAACAGCAGCCGUUGGAUCGAUCUUCAGAUUAAAUCUUAGUCGUUGGAUGGUGCAAUAUAGCUUCCACUGCCCGUAGACCACGUCUGUGGAC